ACUAACAGGACUAACAGGAAAUCAUAAGUAAAAAUAACUCUAAUGACCUAAGCCUAACUAAAUAUAGUCUGCUACAUAUACCAAAGAUUUGGUAUAUUGCUGGUGUAGUAGUGUAAGUAGUAGUGUAACCAAAUACAAAGUGUAACCAAAUACAAGGUGCUACAGAAUUCUAGAAUCAUCACAUGAUAUGCAAUAAUUCAUCUAUAACACAUGGUCAUGCAGCACAACAAAAACGGCAGCACUAACUGAGACCCGUCAAGCAAGAGAACGGGAACUUAGCGAAAAUAAUCAUGACAGCUCAGAUCUGAGCCUAUACGUACCUUAAAGGC